GUCCUUUUGAUUAUAUAUUAAUAUAAGGUCAGGCCUGCCCAAUGAUUAUAUUAAAUGGCCGCAGUAUUUUGACUGUGCGAAGGUAGCAUAAUCACUUGUCUUUUAAUUGAAGGCUCGUAUGAAUGGUUUCAUGAGGGAUUAACUUUCUUUACUUUAUAUAUAUAAAUUUAACUUAUAGGUUAAAAGGCCUAUAUCCCCUUAAAAGACGAGAAGACCCUAUAGAACUUUAUUAUUAUAUAUUAUAUAAUUAAUUUAUAUUAUUAUACUCAUUAUAUAUUAAUAGUUAAUUUUGUUGGGGUGACAGUUAAAUUAUAUUAACUUUAAUUUGCUAGUAUCAUUAAUUAGUGAUUAAAUAUUGAUCCAAUACUAUUGAUUAUAAGAUUAAGUUACCUUAGGGAUAACAGCGUAAUUCUAUUGGAGAGUUCAUAUUAAUAAUAGAGUUUGCGACCUCGAUGUUGGAUUAAAAUAAGUAUUAGGUGCAGAAGCUUAAUAACUAAGUCUGUUCGACUUAUAAUAUUUUACA
rnacentral:rRNA from 1 species